AAAGCAGCACUGAUCUGAUUGCUCGAGUUUAUUGGAAAAUGGAGGGAGUCAGAGUGGGCAGAGCCUGCAGUGCUUCUCUCCAGCUUAUUCAGACGGUGGACCCAGGGAAGUGCUUUAGUCUUUACCUAGUUAGCACCCUUAUCAGUUAGGGGUCACUUUGGAUGGGGAGCUACAGGGAGAUGUUUUAAUGUCAUUUUGUUGUAGAUUCUGACAGGAAAUAGGCCAGUCAAUGGUUCUCUGCUUGAUCAAAUACACGUAGGACAGGUAGACUUCAGAGCAGCCAUGGACUGUUGGGGUUCUCAGCUUGCGGCCACCUUUUCCCUAGUCCCUGAAGCCCCCCCGAUCUUAUCACCCCUUCUGAUUUCAUUUGGCCGUCGCCAGCUAAUCAGGGGCCAACAUCUGGAUGGUUUCCUUGGCAACCAGCUCUACAAAAUAUCCAGGGCCUUAAAAGGGCUCUCUGACCCAGCAAUGGCUGCGCACAAACAGAAUAGGCUCCUGAGUGAGAAAAACAGAAGCAGACCAUGGUAGUGGACAUACAGAGAGCCAGGCAAUACUCUCGCUCCCAGCCCUCAGCCCCUUCCCAGCCCAUGUCCAUCCGGACAAGUGUGAAUGUAUUUAUUUUGUCAUUUGCCUAGCCUGUUUAUGGUCCAGCUUCACUGAUUGGCUGUUUAAUGUAUCUGUUUUGUUUGUUCAGAGAACCUGCUGAUCACCAUGCAUUGUUUGCCCCUCCCUCUUGUUGGGUAGGCCUCCCUCUUUUGACUGGUGCUUCCCCCCUUUUGCAGACUAUGACUCCGUCUUAUGAUUGGCGCUCCCUCCCUCUCAUUAAGUAGGACUCCCUAUUUUGAAUCUCCUCCCUUAUUCAUGCACACAGUUAAUAGGGUCCAUUACACUUGGCUCCCCGGGGCAACUAAAAACCUCAUUUAGCAUGGCCUUUUCAGCCAAGACGGGAAACGCCAGACCCCCUCCCCCUAACCGGAUUAGGAACCGGCCAACGGAUGGGCCCCGGGACAGGACUCCCUGGUCCAGCCACUUAAGACCACUCCACACCCUUGGAACCUUAGGGGACGGAGGGAGGCACAGAACCACUUGAUGAACAAUGUUUCCUGAUUUAACUUGAGAGUGGGUGACAUAUUGGUUAGUUUAUUUGUUUCUGCUACUUUAAGCUGUAUGCAGCAAUACUUUUUUUGUCAUUUUUUGCCUGCUUACGCACAGACAAAUUAUAACCAAUCUUCUCUGGUCUUGAAAAAUGACUCAAAUGUUUGUUUUUCAACGCAACCUCAAUUAUGGUCUGCUGCUGUCUGAACAAGCCAGCACAAGCGCUGCAAGUUCAACUAUUAACCCACAAAGAUUCCUGUAAACUGUGUAGCUCUGAGUUGUAACAAUGUUUUUUUUUGUGUAUACAGUCUCUCUCUCCCCCUUCAU